rnacentral:rRNA from 1 species
GACGACGCUGGCGGCGUGGAUUAGGCAUGCAAGUCGAACGGUAUCAUCCUUUCGGGGGUGAGAGAGUGGCGAACUGGUGAGUAACACGUAGGUUAUCUACCCCAAGACGGGGACAACCCAGGGAAACUUGGGCUAAUACCGGAUGUGAGCAACUUUUAGUUGUUUGAAAGGUGGCGUAAGCUGUCGCUUGGGGAUGAGCCUGCGUCCUAUUAGUUAGUUGGUGAGGUAACGGCUCACCUAGGCAAUGAUAGGUAGGCGGCCUUAACGGGUGGUCGCCCACACUGGGAUUGAGAUACGGCCCAGACUCCUACGGGAGGCAGCAGUCGAGAAUAGUCUACAAUGGUCGGAAGACUGAUAGUGCGACGCCGCGUGAACGAUGAAUCCCUUCGGGGUGUAAAGUUCUUUUAUAUGUGAGCAGUGCUUCUUAUAUUAACAGUAUGGGGAGAGAGAUAUUAGCAUAUGAAUAAGCAACGGCUAACUCCGUG